ensembl:lncRNA
CCUCAUGUCUCAUUAGCUAUGAAUUUUAAUCCCCAGGACUGUACUUUUUACUCAUUUAGGCCACAGAUUUUAUUUAGUUUUCCUUUUUCCCGUCAUCAUAAAACAUGUGACAUGUUGUCAUGCAUUUCACAAAAGAAGUUUGUUAUGUAUUCAGAGUUUGGUAUCUGGGUGCAGGAUUCACUCGCACAUCACAACAGGAAACUCAGUGUUUUAGAGUGUCCACUCUAACACACUCCAACACAUCCCAUUCACUCGUACUAGAAUUCAGUCACCUUUCAUUAAUCUAAGAACCAUCAACUAAUUUGCAUAUCAGCUAUUAACCCACUAAGUUGACAGGACAACAGAAAUGCAUGUUCAAAAUAUUAUCACAAAAAUGGAAUUUCCCUCAUACAGUAAAUUACUUGUGCUGCAUCAAUCAGGCAGAAAGCAUGUCCCAAUUUACUAUAUUAACAACUAAAUUUGUCUGAUUGUCUGAUCACUGGUUGGUCAAACCAGAAUCUUUUUUUCCCACAAAAGUUAAACUGUUGUCCUGCAACCUAGAGAGUUAACUGUCAGCAUUGGAUAAAUUCAGCAUUUGAUAACAAGUGUCUGCUAAAUUGACACUAUUUUAGCACUGAUGAGAGAUAACAAGCUGAUCUUCAUUGCAUGUAUGUUUGUGUUAUUAGGCAGGUUUAAUCAAUGUGUCUGGAGCUGCAUCUCCAGCAGGGCAUGUUCUUAAAGCUGCCUUUCCUACACACUUCUCUGCUAUUAUUUGAUCAUUUUUAACUAAUGUGCUAUGAGUCCACCGGUGUUUGCAUCACUUCUCAUCACACGAAGUGACUUGGACAAGAUGAUAAACAGACUCACAUGCUUAAGAUGUUGUCUAAUCUUCAUGGGCUCUCUUGUGUUUGUGUUAGUAGGGUUAAUGCAUGUUCUGCUUGUGUGUGUGAUUUUGUAUAUGUUUCUUUUUGCAGUGGUUCAGAUUCCUUCACAAUUUUCCACUUAAGCAGUCAGUUUUCUUUUCCCCAGUCCAAUAGUCGGCAGUUCUUCUUCAGCUUUGUCCUGUGUUCCACUGUCUCAUCUUGCCAUUUUCUCCAAAGGCGGCAAAUGUCAAACUCCAACAGUCUCCUUAGUUCUCCUCAAAAGUCCUUUUCACAAGCACAGUGACUUUGCAGCUUGUUGGAAACACAGUGUCAUUCAUCCAAUCAGUCAGGAUGAUGGUUUGCUCUUCUUCUUUGAUACUGUUUGUCCACACUGCUGCUGCUUGCUGGGACUCUUUGCCCAGGACUUUGCUGCUGUCUCUUUA